CAGCCUGUCUCUUCAUAAUAGAACCAGCCAACUAAAAGCCAGGCAGCAUGUAGGAAGCUGAACAGUAAUGAGAGAGCAGGAUUGGAUGUGCAAACACCAAUGACGUGAUGAGACAGAAGUUUUCAAACUUGUCUGGUGGAAGAGCCAUAAGGCAGGAACCGGAAGUGAAAACAAUACUGUUUGCCAAAGGCUGAGGGCAUUUCUAUUCUCACUUCAGCAAGUGUCUCAGCAAAUCAUACAGUCACUUGAACCAGAAGCUCACUUCCAAGAGCUCACAUCAUGAUGUACUGCCUCGCAUCAGGCACAGAAGCAAUGGAUUUCACCAGCCAUGGGCUGAAACCUUCAGCACCAAGAGCAAAAAUAAACUCCUCUUUAACAAAA